rnacentral:rRNA from 1 species
UACGUAGGGUGCAAGCGUUGUCCGGAUUUAUUGGGCGUAAAGAGCUCGUAGGCGGCUUGUUGCGUCGACUGUGAAAACCCGCGGCUUAACCGCGGGCUUGCAGUUGAUACGGGCAGGCUAGAGUUCGGUAGGGGAGACUGGAAUUCCUGGUGUAGCGGUGAAAUGCGCAGAUAUCAGGAGGAACACCGGUGGCGAAGGCGGGUCUCUGGGCCGAUACUGACGCUGAGGAGCGAAAGCGUGGGAGCAAACAGG